CUCUCUCUCUCAUUUCUUUUUGGAGAUUUAUGGAUAGAUAGAUAGAUAGAUAGAUAUUGACGGCUAUCUGACUUUCUCUGACCUUGUUUGGUUCCUCAGGAAAUUGAAAGAAAAAGAAUUGGCGAGAGAGCUGAUAAUAAUUUUGAUUUUUCAGGUCGAAUUCGUUGCUGUUGCUGUUGAAGCUUAAGUUUUUGUUAGCAUAAAAUGCCCAGGGAUUUGUCGCGGUCGCCUUCAUAUAGGCGAAGGCGUUCGCCGUCGCCUGUGGGGAGUAGGUAUAACAGGAAGAAGAGUCGAAGGGAGAGGAGCCGUUCUCCGUAUUCCUAUAGCAGGUGAUCCCGUUUAUGUUUUAACUCAACUUCCUUUCUUUUUAUUUACUGUUCAACAUAGAUUGAGGACUCCUUUCGUUACUGCAAAUUGUUCGAGCUAGAUAUGUACGGUGAUCUUAUCCUUCUUUAUUGAUUUAUUUUUGGGUAUAUAGUUAUCUAUGCUUGCAAAUGGGGUCUGAUUUACCGUGUCUUGUUCAAUAGAUAGUAUUCAAUAAGAUCAUGGGCUUCCGUGUCUUGUUCGGUGUGUCUUUCCUCGCGUUCUGCUGUUACUGUGUUUUAACAUGUUGCCAAUGUCUGACAUUCGAUAAUCUGGUUUGGUUGAAAUCUUCUGCGGGAAAAUAAAUAUGCGAUGCCAGUGUUCUUUAUAGCGUAGCUAGCCUAUAGUUUGAAAGACAGAGUGCAUAUCACACUGCACCAAAAGCUUUUUGCAGAACAUAGCUUUGAAUUGGAUUUUUACGUGGAAAUUGCAUGUUAUUUGGCUUCCUUUUUUAAUUGCUCCAGUGGAUGGAGAUUGAUAGUUUGACUGUUCAAGUUGGUGUAUUCUGGCAACAUUUUGUCUUUCAAAAUGAUUUCUCUUUACAUGGGUUUGUGCAUGAGUCCUUUCUUGAUUGACAGAGUCAAUUGCUUUGUUGAUUUUUUCACAAAAAUGCGAGGAGUAUUUUGAUCUACUGGUAUCGAAUUGUAGUAUUUCAUUGGGAAUCUGCUUUUGGGGAACUUAAUAUUGCAUGUAAGGUGGAGAGAUAUCAAAUAUAAUUAUUUGGAUAAAAGCAUACAGAGCGCUGUAAGGGUGCCAUAGGAUUCACGUUCUUUAUAAUAAAGUUACAAAAACUCAGUGCCCUCCCAUUGUAUUGGGUGGGAAGUGAGCAGGUGAUGAGUGCUGAUGGGUGUCCUUUUUCAUUGCUCGGUUCUGAUAUUAGCUUCUUCGUGUGAUAAAAGAUGGAGCACAUGAUGGUGUACGAGGUAACUGUAUAUGCUUCUAUGUUUAUUGUGCUAGAUGGUGGGGGGAUCCAAAACUGCUUUGCACAUUGUUGAUGUGCAUACUAACAUUUUUUAUGUCUAAUCAUGUUUCUAUAUCGUACAGAAGGAGAAGUCGCUCUAUUUCUCCUCGCCGGCACAAAAGCCGUUCUUCAACCCCGAGACGCCGUAAAAGUCGUUCUCCAACUCCAAGGCGUUAUAAAAGGCAAAGAAGCAGUAGUUCCUCACUGUCUCCUACUCAUAAAUCUUCUAGUCCAAGUCUUGGGUCAGUGGAGCGCAAAAUUGUUAGUGAAAAAAUGAGAAAAGAAGAAGAAGAAGAGAAGAAGAGGUUACUUGACAUGCUUCUCCACAGGCUUUUCUGAAGGAAGAUACUGCUAUAGUUCAACUUGUUAUAUUUGAUGAUGAAACUGGUGCCUCCUUUAUCUACUGUUCACCAGUUUUGAUACUCAUUUGUUUGGAUCAGGAUUCGGUUAGAGGUAUGCUAUAGUUCAUCAUGAUGCAUUAUUAUAUGUAGUACCUUUGCUGUCAUGCAGGUUAGUUUGCAAUUUACUGUAGCUCAGAAAAAAAUAGAGAGAGAAGCAAAAAAUUGGGCAGUUUGAAUGCCAAUUGCUGUUUUACAUUUUGUGUGGAUGUGGGGACACUUGGAAUCAUAAAUGAGCAAUUAUGACUCAAUGAGUGACCAUUUUGUGGAUUAACUUGUUUUAUAAUCUCAGGCGCCAGCAGGAAGCAGAACUAAAACUGAUAGAAGAAGAGACAGCAAAGAGGGUGGAAGAAGCUAUUCAGAGGAAAGUUGAAAAGAACUUGAACUCCGAGGAGAUCAAGUUGGAGAUACGAAGGCGUUUAGAAGAGGGGCGGAAAAGACUUAUUGAUGAAGUUGCCGAUCAACUUGAGAAAGAAAAAGAAGCUUCUCUAAUAGAGGCUAGGCAAAAGGAGGAACAAGCUCGGAAA